AGCGAACGCUGGCGGCAGGCUUAACACAUGCAAGUCGAGCGGGCGUAGCAAUACGUCAGCGGCAGACGGGUGAGUAACGCGUGGGAACAUACCUUUUGGUUCGGAACAACACAGGGAAACUUGUGCUAAUACCGGAUAAGCCCUUACGGGGAAAGAUUUAUCGCCGAAAGAUUGGCCCGCGUCUGAUUAGCUAGUUGGUGAGGUAACGGCUCACCAAGGCGACGAUCAGUAGCNGGUCUGAGAGGAUGAUCAGCCACAUUGGGACUGAGACACGGCCCAAACUCCUACGGGAGGCAGCAGGUGGGGAAUAUUGGACAAUGGGCGCAAGCCUGAUCCAGCCAUGCCGCGUGAGUGAUGAAGGCCCUAGGGUUGUAAAG
rnacentral:rRNA from 1 species